rnacentral:ncRNA from 2 species
CUAAAUAGCGAGGAAUAGGGUGCUCUUGCGUAACGUCUUGAGCUUAAAAGGGAAGUCCGGUGCAAUACCGGCGCGGUCCCGCCACUGUAACAGCGGAGUUUUGCGCAAUAAAGCCACUGGCAUGAUGCCGGGAAGGCGAGCGCAGCGAUGAUGAUGCUGGAGCCAGGAGACCUGCCUUAUUCUAUACACUGCA